rnacentral:rRNA from 1 species
GUUAGGAAUAUUGGACAAUGGGCGCAAGCCUGAUCCAGCCAUGCCGCGUGAACGAUGAAGGCCUUCGGGUUGUAAAGUUCUUUAGCCGAUGAUUAUAAUGACUGUAGUCGGAAAAUAAGCCCCGGCUAACUUCGUGCCAGCAGCCGCGGUAAUACGAAGGGGGCGAGCGUUAUUCGGAAUCACUGGGCGUAAAGCGUGCGUAGGCGGUCUCGUAAGUUAGGAGUUAAAGCCCAUGGCUCAACCUUGGAAUUGCUCUUAAUACUGAAACGCUAGAAUGUCGGAGAGGAUAGCGGAAUUUCCAGUGUAGCAGUGAAAUGCGUAGAUAUUGGAAGGAACACCAGUGGCGUAAGCGGCUAUCUGGACGAGUAUUGACGCUGAGGCACGAAAGCGUGGGGAUCAAACAGGAUUAGAUACCCGUGUAGUCC